rnacentral:rRNA from 1 species
CGUUAGCGGCGGACGGGUGAGUAACACUGGGUAACCUACCUAUAAGACUGGGACAACUUCGGGAAACCGGAGCUAAUACCGGAUAAGAUAUCGAACCGCAUGGUUCGAUAGUGAAAGAUGGUUUUGCUAUCACUUAUAGAUGGACCCGCGCCGUAUUAGCUAGUUGGUGAGGUAACGGCUCACCAAGGCAACGAUACGUAGCCGACCUGAGAGGGUGAUCGGCCACACUGGAACUGAGACGACGGUCCACGACCUCCGUACGGGAGGCAGCAGGU